UUGUAACACAGUUUCUGUUUUGAACUCCAUCAAGGCAUUCAUGUCCUGAAAAUACAUACCACAUUUGGUUUCCCUAUUUAUAACGUUUUUUGUGAAAAUCUGUCCCCAUCAUCUCAGACGGACAGAGCUCAAACCAAUAUCCCCCUCCCACUUUGUGGCGUUCUAGGCGAGCCAACCGGGUCAAAUUGAGAUGCCACUGCAUUCUAGAUUUUUUGCAAGGACUCCACAUGAUCGCCAUGAGAUCACAGCCCUGAUAUUUCAUUAGGAUUAGAAGCUAAAAAUUAUGAACAUGUA